AUUGAACGCUGGCGGCAUGCCUUACACAUGCAAGUCGAACGGCAGCACGGGGGCAACCCUGGUGGCGAGUGGCGAACGGGUGAGUAAUGCAUCGGAACGUGCCCAGUAGUGGGGGAUAACUAGUCGAAAGAUUAGCUAAUACCGCAUACGACCUACGGGUGAAAGCGGGGAUGCAGCACUUAAUGUUUUGGGAUGGCUACUUGUGGCCGCCUCGGGACAGUCUCAGGUUGAGAACAUUAAGUGCUGCACCUCGCGCUAUUGGAGCGGCCGAUGUCUGAUUAGCUAGUUGGCGGGGUAAAAGCCCACCAAGGCGACGAUCAGUAGCUGGUCUGAGAGGACGACCAGCC
rnacentral:rRNA from 1 species